GGAUCAAUUUAUUGGUCGUGCUAUUGUACGUACUGGUAUUAUUGAUUCCUACCUUCUGACGAACCAUGAUGUCAUUAAUUUGGUGUCAUGGGGAAUCAGGACUGUUACUUUGAAAAAAUUAGAGUGUUCAAAGCAGGCCUUUGCCCGAAUACAUUAGCAUGGCAUAAUAAAAUAGGACGU
rnacentral:rRNA from 1 species